AUUGAACGCUGGCGGCAUGCCUUACACAUGCAAGUCGAACGGCAGCACGGGUGCUUGCACCUGGUGGCGAGUGGCGAACGGGUGAGUAAUACAUCGGAACAUGUCCUGUAGUGGGGGAUAGCCCGGCGAAAGCCGGAUUAAUACCGCAUACGAUCUACGGAUGAAAGCGGGGGACCUUCGGGCCUCGCGCUUUAGGGUUGGCCGAUGGCGGAUUAGCUAGUUGGUGGGGUAAAGGCCUACCAAGGCGACGAUCAGUAGCUGGUCUGAGAGGACGACCAGCCACACUGGAACUGAGACACGGCCCAGACUCCUACGGGAGGCAGCAGUGGGGAAUGUUGGACAAUGGGCGAAAGCCUGAUCCAGCAAUGCCGCGUGUGUGAAGAAGGCCUUCGGGUUGUAAAGCACUUUUGUCCGGAAAGAAAUCCUUGGCCCUAAUACGGUCGGGGGAUGACGGUACCGGAAGAAUAAGCACCGGCUAACUACGUG
rnacentral:rRNA from 1 species